AUUAGGAACUUCAUUCCAAAAAUUUACAACCCUCAUGGAAGCCAAGGUUGCAAGAGCAUCUGCCAUCCGGUUUUCAUCUAGAAGGAUAUGAUGAAACUCAACCUCUAUAAAGAAAGUUGAAAUCCUCCUUGCAUAAUCUUUGUAUGGUAUCAAACCGGGUUGAUUCGUUUCCCAUUCACCUUUUGUUUGAUUCAUAACCAAAGUU
rnacentral:lncRNA from 1 species